UCGUCGAUCUCUUCCAUCUCGAUCCACCCUUCCCAAAAUACCUCUCGAUCCAAUCGUCCUCUCCACUCUCCGCUCGCCGCCGCCGUGCUGCUGCACGUUCUCACCCUGCCGCCGCCGCCCUGCCCUGGCGCACAGCACGCGUGCUUGAUCACACCGAUGUUGGCCGCUCCACUCGCCACUACGUUGUAGCCCUCGCUUCCUGCACGCACCACCAAGCAUCCAUCACGGCUGGGAUCUGAUGGCUGGCAGGCGAGGCACCGGAGGCGAACAGCCCAGGCCUCAGGAGUGCGGAGGCGAGGUCGGGUGGUGGCUCGGCGAACUACGGCAAGGGGCGUCAAGGUGCAGGCUUGGCCGAAGGAGGUGGGCCCAGAUAUUCGGGGGGACAAGGAGGAUGAGAGGGAACCUCCUGCAGUGGAUGACGAAGAAGGGGAGUAGUACCCCUCCUCAGCGGACCAAGAUGACCUACCAUGCCGGAGGCAAAGUGUUCAGCGGCAACGGAUUUGAAGGUGGUGGCAGUAGCAGAUCGGCGUGAGCAUCCUGCUCUCUCUCUCUCUCUCUCUCUCUCUCUCUCUCUCUCUCAUCCUGCUCUCUCUCUCUCUCUCUCUCCGCAUUGAUAUUUGUUUUGUGGCGUGGGAGCUUCAAGACGGCCAUGCGUACGAAUCUCAAGAUAGGCAGCAGCAUACGGCCAGCCGGCGGCAUCACAGUAGCUCGGCUCUGUUACAACGAGAGGAUGAGAAGGGAAGGAAUUCCGCACUACGCACGCCACCGUAUACUACCAGACACACUCAAAGAAUGUGUCCAAUUAACCUUGGAUGCCGGAGUGUCCAUCAGGGGAGGGAAGUUCGCGAGGUGCUGAAGCACAGCGCAAGGGAACCAUCUCCAUGGCCAACUCCGGCACCAAAGCGAUACACUUUUUUUGGCUGGUUGUUGGUGAUUGCUCCCAUGUCUCUGUUGUUUUCUUGCUCUUUACAAAAUUUAGUUCUAUAAUAUCAUCAUUCAGUUACCUGAAUUUUAUCUACCUGCAAGAACAUGAUAUGAGUUGCUAUUCCCUGUUCUCUAAGGUAAUGCAUCAAUUUGCUGCUUAGUUAGGAAGAGGAGGAGGAGUACGGUGGGCUCGACCUGCUGGUGGUGGACGUCGGGAUUGACGAGAUGCACAGUUCCUAUGGUGGCUGCCGGGCUAAUAGGAUUUGUAGGAGGAGGAGGACGGGUGGGAGAGACCUGCUGCUAGAGGACGAGGGUCGAUGAGAUGCACGAUUCCUAUGCUUCUCUUGAGACAGCCAUGAUGGGAACACGAUUCAUAUGCUUUAGGUAUCUAUUUCAACUGAUCCAUGGUUAGAGUUGUACACUGUAUGGGCUAACUUCUUCAAAUUCGGCUUUUUUUUCUUCUGAAGUGAUGAGAGAUCUUAGUUAUAUAGGAGUAAAUGCGCCUUUUGGCGAGUACAAUUUAAAGCUUUAUUCUUUGCUGAUCAUAUAGACUAUUUAAUACAGAAACUUACUGUCUUCUAAAAACAAUAUAAGCCCAUUAUUCUUCGCAGAAAAAAGAGAGCAGACUGCAGGUUGUAUAGCCAUGUAUAUCAGUAUUCUAUAUGUAAUUGCUAUAUUAACAAACUGUUCAUCACAUUAGGUUGUCAUUACAUUUCAGAUGUUCUUUUACAAUAAUUUUGUUUCAAUUUUAAGGUAGGUAUUCGUAUUUGUUAUGAUUAUUAUUUAUUUCCUUCUUUACCAGCUUACUGUUGGAUUGUUGGUUGUAUAGCCCAUGAUUUCCAUCUUUCUUGGUUCCUAGUAGGAGUUGAUUGAAAGGCUUCUAAUAUGUGAUAUUCACUCACAAUUUGCAUGAAGGAAUGCCCACAUCAGCUAUAUAUCAAGAGGAUCUGGGUAAUUCAUGUUAUCUUUAAUUUCAUUGAUACUUCAGUAAUAGUAUGGAAUAGUACUAUGCAAUCCAAUUCUUUCUCCAGGAGCCAAUAGCCUAGUUCUUACAUUUUCUAUUUUUGUAGAUGUCCUACUAUCAGUUCUAUUGUGUAUAAAUGCUUCGGUCUAUGAUUUUUGUUGCGGAUUGUUGUUUGCAGGCAAUAUCUGAAAACCUGAAAUUAUUGAACAUGCAGGCAUGAGUUCUGUUUACAUAUUUUUAAGAAAUUUGGAACAUGUACUCUUAAUAUUAUAUUAUAAUUUCUGCGAUCGCAAUUAAGGUAUACACCCACCACACGCACAAGACACACCACAAGUCACCGCCUUGACCGAUGUAUCAAUAAGACAUGUAUUGAACGAUGAAGACCCGGGAUGAAUCUGCCUCUUGAAAUUAUCCGAUCUUGCACAACGGCCAUGUAUCUAUUCGGAUAAACCAUGUCAAUAGUGCACAUUUUAUGCCUAUUGAUAUUUAUUUGUUUCCCGGUGUGCGACUUUUUUAGAUGCACUGCAAUGAAGUAGAGAAUCAUGCUGUGGCAGUGACAGUUGAUGAUUUCGGAUGGAAUUUGCUACUUGAAAGUGUGACAUCCAGGUUGGGUUCAUUACUCGUGGUGGCAAAAAAGAUGACACCCUCCUUAUAUCUCCAAGGGUAGGAAGGGACAGUUUGCACAUGGAAGAGGGUGAUGUAGGGCAAUUACUGUAAAGGAAGGAAUGGGAAAAAGAAUAGGUGCUUAUCGUCGAAAACUAGACUUGCAUGUACCGAUCUUAUAUGAAUAAGCAUGUAUCCAGCUUAUAUUGAUAUUUUCAUAGUAGCGGAGACAUAAAUCACAAGUGACAUGUUAAACUCAAAUAAUAUUUUUAUUAGUA